CAGACGGGACAAGGCUGAGAGCUAGCAGGGAGCGGAGCGACAAGAUGAAUGCCGGCUCAGACCCCGUGGUCAUCGUCUCGGCGGCGCGCACCGCUAUAGGCUCCUUCAAUGGUGCCCUGUCCACUGUGCCUUUCCACGAACUGGGGACAACUGUCAUCAAAGAAGUCCUGCAGAGGUCCAAGGUGGCUCCAGAAGAGGUGUCCGAGGUCAUAUUUGGACACAUCUUGACCGCAGGUUGUGGGCAGAAUCCCACUCGACAAGCCAGUGUGGGUGCAGGGAUCCCCUACUCGGUUCCAGCAUGGAGCUGCCAGAUGAUCUGUGGCUCAGGCCUAAAAGCCGUGUGUCUUGCAGCCCAGUCCAUAGCCAUGGGCGACUCCACCAUUGUGGUUGCUGGAGGCAUGGAGAAUAUGAGCAAGGCUCCUCACUUGACUCACCUGAGAACAGGAGUGAAGAUGGGUGAGGUGCCACUGGCUAACAGCAUACUCUGUGAUGGUCUUACAGAUGCCUUUCACAACUACCACAUGGGCAUCACAGCUGAAAACGUAGCCAAAAAAUGGCAAGUGAGCAGAGAGGCCCAGGACAAGGUUGCAGUUCUGUCACAGAACAGGGCGGAGCAUGUGCAGAAAGCUGGCCUCUUUGACAAGGAGAUUGUGCCAGUGCUGGUGUCUUCCAGAAAAGGUCUUACUGAAAUGAAAAUCGAUGAGUUUCCUCGUCAUGGGAGUAACCUCGAAGCCAUGGGCAAGCUGAAACCUUACUUUCUUACCGAUGGGACAGGAACUGUCACCCCAGCGAACGCAUCAGGAAUGAACGAUGGCGCUGCUGCCGUGGUUCUUAUGAAGAAGACAGAAGCUGAGAGUCGGAUGCUGAGACCUUUAGCAAGAAUAGUCUCCUGGUCACAAGCCGGUGUGGAGCCUUCUGUUAUGGGAGUAGGACCAAUUCCAGCCAUAAAGCAAGCUGUUGCAAAGGCAGGCUGGUCCCUGGAGGAUGUUGACCUGUUUGAAAUCAAUGAAGCCUUUGCAGCGGUGUCUGCGGCAAUAGCUAAAGAACUUGGAUUAAACCCCGAGAAGGUCAACAUCGAUGGAGGAGCCAUUGCCUUGGGCCAUCCUCUGGGAGCAUCUGGCUGUAGGAUUCUAGUGACCUUGCUACACACCCUGGAGAGAGUCUGCUUGUGGACGUUGAACUGGAAAGUUAAGGAUGUUGAGAGCUGUGCAGAAGAUGGAGACCUGGCUUGUGAAGUUUCAAAGGGAAGUUUAAAGGCUCCAUAG